GUCAGCGGCCAUAGGAGCGGGGAAACGCCCGAUCCCAUUCCGAACUCGGAAGCUAAGACCGCUUACGGCGUUGCCUGUACUGCCUUGCGGCGGGAACGCGCGCUGCUGCUGACA
rnacentral:rRNA from 1 species